rnacentral:rRNA from 1 species
GAUGAACGCUAGCUACAGGCUUAACACAUGCAAGUCGAGGGGAAACGACAUCGAAAGCUUGCUUUUGAUGGGCGUCGACCGGCGCACGGGUGAGUAACGCGUAUCCAACCUGCCCAUCACUUGGGAAUAACCUUGCGAAAGUAAGACUAAUACCCAAUGAUAUCCCACGAAGGCAUCGGAAUGGGAUUAAAGAUUUAUCGGUGAUGGAUGGGGAUGCGUCUGAUUAGCUUGUUGGCGGGGUAACGGCCCACCAAGGCAACGAUCAGUAGGGGUUCUGAGAGGAAGGUCCCCCACAUUGGAACUGAGAAACGGUCCAAACUCCUACGGGAGGCAGCAGUGAGGAAGAUUGGUCAAUGGGCGAGAGCCUGAACCAGCCAAGUAGCGUGCAGGAAGACGGCCCUAUGGGUUGUAAACUGCUUUUAUAAGGGAAUAAAGUGGGUCACGUGUGACUUUUUGCAUGUACCUUAUGAAUAAGGACCGGCUAAUUCCGUG